UUUUGGUAUAAUUUUUCUUUCAUUCUUUUUUUUUUUAAAUGGAGAGCCAGGGUUCUGAUUAGUGCUGUAUAAAUUUAAGACUCAAGUAGAGGUUAUGCUUUGUAGGAUCUGUAAGAAAGGCACUAUUUCUGCUUGAUAAUUAAUGGAAGAAUAACUACAUUGACUCUUACAUGGAUGUAUAUUUUAAUGUUUUUGUGCCUCUCCUGGAUGCAAGAAGGCCUCAAGACAAAGGAAGCUCAUUGAUUCUGUUUCAUCUAUAAGUGGGUAGAAGCUGUAGGGAGGUGAAUUUCAAAUUAAUCUGCGACAAGGAAGAUUUUUAAUCAUUGAAGCAAUCUAACAUAACUUCCUCUUUGGCAAAGUAAGCAGGUUAGCAGAGCUAUGUGAUGUCAUUCUUACCUGGCCUGGGAACUUACAGUUGAACUUUGAGGUCACUCUAUGGGUCUUUGAUAAGAGCUUCAAUUUUAGUAUCUGUACUACUGAAGCAAGCACUGAAGAGGGGUUCAACUCACUGGAUGUGUAUAAAGAAGGUUUCCCCGCUUUCAAAGACAAGUGAGUAUUUCUUCUUUUGAAGCUACUGUAGACGUAGUUACAUUAUGAUAGGCAAUAAUAGUCCCUUUGGCCAUUAUGAAUCUACUUCUCAUCCUUCUUUUAAAAUGAAUCUAUUGAUUCUUUGUCUAUUGAUAUUUUCUGGUUAAAGUUUUUCUUCCUUUAACACUGAAAAUAAUAAUUGAAAAGGUCUUUGUGACUAACUGGAAAAAUUUCUGGCAUUACUCUAAUUCUUUGUUGAUUUCCCUUUUUACAUAUUUCUGUUUUUCUCCUAUUCUAUCUUUAUAAAUCAUAAAUUCAAAUACAUUUAGUUAAAAUGAGUUAGUGAAAACUCUAGUGAUUGUUUAGAUGCCCUGAGAUUAUGUGAUUCAUCGGGCCUGGAAUGGAUCUUGGGAAAUUAUCUCCUCCCCUACCCAUCUUGGCUCUGGAUGGUGUUUCCUCUGCAGUCCUGCUCUGUCUGGUAUGGUGGCCACUGGCCACAUGGGACUAUCGAGCACUUGAAACAUUGCUAGUGUCAGGAAGUGCUCACUUAUACAUGCUGCAGUUCUAUUUAAAGUAAGGGCCCCUGAAAGCAUGUUUCCUAGAGUUCUGGCUUUUACUUGCUGUCUACUAUGAUCAUUCAAUCACCAUCGUUGCAUUUUCAAUUCUGGUUUAAAUAUGUAUCUUUGAGGAUUGCUUUUUCUGUUCAACUGCUCAUAAACUUUCAUUUCAUCAUUUUAUUCUGCAGAUGAUCAAGGUCAUCUUUGAUUCUUCUCCACUCUCCCAGAGCUCCUUAAAUACUAGACUGAGACCUUAUUUUUAACAUUUUUUAGUCUUAUUUUAUAGACAUUCCUUGCUUUUCAGAUGCAACAACACAAACUAUUAGAGUUGUAGAGUGACUCACCUUGAGAUGUUAGUAGAUUUUAUGAUUAAAAUAAUAUGUGUGUAAUAUAUAUAUUAUAUAUAAAUAUAUAUAUAUAUAUGUAGUUUCCAUGCCCAACAUGGGGCUUGAACUCAUGACCUGAGAUCAAGACCUGAGCUGAAAUCAAGAGCCAGAUGCUUAAUUGAUUGAGCCACCCAGGUGCCCCUAAAAUAAUAUUUUCUAAGAUUAACAUUAUUCUGAAGAAUUGGCAUCCAGUGUUGAAGCAUUAAUGUUUCAGCUCAUGAAAAUUUCAGCCCAUUGACAUGACUCAGCUAUGCCUGUAUGACUAUUUAAGGAAUAUUAGGUACUGGUUACCCACUUAUAGAAUAAUUUGGCAGAUAGUUUAUUUAAAGUUAUAUAUUUUAAGCCUUUUGCUGCCUAUUACUAAUAUUUUUAAUGUGUAUGAUAUACUUAAGUGAUAUGUCUUCAUGUAAUUGACAUUUUUAUUCUCUGUAGACAUCUUUAGAUCAGAUAGGCAGGUAGAUAAAAAACAGUUUAUAAAUAUGAAGUAGACAAUGUUUUAUUUUGUUCUUUCAGAAAGAAUGCAGAUAUUUCUCCAGAUUGUCUCCCUUCCUAGAGACCAGUUAUUUAUAUAUUUUUCUUUACAUAUUAGAUUGCUUGUUUGAAACCUUGUUCCUGCUUCCCAUUGUUGAUAGCUUUGUCUUUUUUAUAUCUGCUAUUAGAUUUAGUUUUUUCAGAUUGUUGAAAUUGAAAUGUAAGGAAGGACAUAUCAGAAUUUAUCAUGGGGGAAAAUACCUUCUCUGUGGAGCAAUUCUUGUCUGAUUUUGGUGGCGUGGAAGUCCAUUCCAAUCUGCUUAUGACUUGAAAAUUGCAGAAAGAAAUGAUGCAAGACUGUUUAGUGGAUUCAGAGGCUGAGCAGGUUCUUGGCCUGAUCCAUCCCAAAGGGGUAGGUGGAUCCAGCUUUGGUGGAAGUCCAACCCCCAUUCUGUCCAGUUUAUAAAUGUAUCAGCACAUUAAUGCUGUAACAUGACCUUGCAUGGAAAAUUCAAAACAGCCCUCUCACUGUAUUUAAUAAAGAAUGCAUACUGAUGCCUACAGAUCAGGUAUUUAAUAGGAAAUCUCAAGGUACUUUGAAGUAUAAUACUAAGCUUUAUAAAGUAAAUCUUGUAUAUUAAUAUACAAUACACCUUGUGUGUUAAUCCAAUAGUUCUUAGAAAUACAAUUUAAAUGAUGAAUGUACGGGAUGCUGGCAUAUCCCAGUGGGCACUUUUGUUUUAUUGCUACUUAACAUUUUCUAGUAAAUUUGUUUUAAUUAUUGGUAGUCUGUUUGACAUUAUUUAGGAAAAAAAGUUGGUCUCAGUGUAACAGAACUGAUAACCAGAGAAAUUGGAUCCAAUAAAUAUGUUAAAGAAUAUUGCCUAUCAUUUCAGUUUUAAAGAAAUUAUGUUAUUUUGAAAUGCUGGAAGAUCAUCCUCAAUUUGAAGGGAUGACACUCCCUGCUUGGGAAAUCACACAGACAUUUUAAUUCAUUCUUAUCUUUAUUGGAAAUAAGUUUCCAGGUUAGUAAAUGCAUUUAAACAAUUUCCAUUAAUUACUUUACUUUUUACCUGAAAUGAUUUUAUUCUUCAUAGUAAACAGUUGCUUUCUAUGCAGUGAUUUGUUUUUUUAAAGAAAUGGUUUACACAAAAAGAGAGAUUACGAUAAACAUUAUGAAUCUUAGGCUAUUGAUUUAAUGGCUGAAGAAAACAGUAUGGUUGGGUAUUUUGAUUUGCAAAAGGAGAACACACAUGUUCUACUGAUAUGUGCUAUCCAGAAAAAUUACUUCAUUCUUAACCAGUAUGUCACAUUCUCAUGUUGUCUAAGGGGAAAAUUUUUAAGUAGCUUAUUAUUUAUUAUUUUUUCCCCAUUGCUAACUGUUGACAUCCAAACACCUGAAUGAAUACCAGCUGAGGCAUUUAUAUGCUAGUGUUUUAAGUAUUUAUUUGCAAAUAUUCAUAGAACUCUUGAAUUUUUUGAUGCAAGUUGCUAAAUCAGAUGUAAAGGUAAAAUAUAUAUUUAAUAAGGGAGAAGUAUUAUUUUAUUACUGAAAUUUAUUUCUAAAGCAAAUUUAUUUUGUAGAUAUUUCACUUGGGAAAUUUUGCUUUGCCUUAAAACACAAAAUAAACCUGUCUUGUGAUCUGCUUACCUAAAAACCUUUAAUUUUACCUUGCCAGGUAGGUGAAUUUUGAAAUUCUUCAAAAAUGUAUAUUUUUCACUUUCAUUUGGAUGAAGCAAAAAUAGUUAGAGGUCAUAGACUUUGUAAAUCAGUGUGUGGUUUCCUGUGGAAUGUACUUUAUAAUUCAAUGUUUUAUUAGUAAAAAUUGCCAACAUUUUAUCUUCCCUCUUUCUCUUCUCAUUACAGUUGAAGUUAGUUUCAUAUCUUUUUCCAUUCCCAGUGGUCACAGUUUUACAGAGCAAGACAUUUUUAGAAAUUUAAGAUGUAUGAGUUCUAUGUAAGAUGAAUGUGUUAGUAGCAUCCAUCUGCUGAUCAAAUAGGCAUUGGAUCUGGUACCAGAAAGUGAAAUAGAUUAUAUCUAUAAAAGCAUUUUAUCAAUGUAAGUCAGAAAGAAAGAAGAAAACUGUGAACUUCUGAUAUUUUUAAUAUAAAAACUGUGUUCCCCAUGAGUAUUUGCUUGCUGAUUUUGUGUUAAUGUUAUCACCUAUGAUUUGUAAGCUAUUGCUGAUAUGACAUCUACAUUUUCAACAUGAAGACAACAGUUCCUGUAGCAUAUUUUUAACAUUUAAGACAUUUUUGAAAACAGAUGCCAUCUUAGAAGUUGUAUUUUUAAGUGCAAAUAAAACAUCCC
rnacentral:lncRNA from 1 species